AGUUUGAUCAUGGCNCAGAUUGAACGCUGGCGGCAGGCCUAACACAUGCAAGUCGAGCGGAUGAAAGGAGCUUGCUCCUGGAUUCAGCGGCGGACGGGUGAGUAAUGCCUAGGAAUCUGCCUGGUAGUGGGGGACAACGUUUCGAAAGGAACGCUAAUACCGCAUACGUCCUACGGGAGAAAGCAGGGGACCUUCGGGCCUUGCGCUAUCAGAUGAGCCUAGGUCGGAUUAGCUAGUUGGUGAGGUAAUGGCUCACCAAGGCGACGAUCCGUAACUGGUCUGAGAGGAUGAUCAGUCACACUGGAACUGAGACACGGUCCAGACUCCUACGGGAGGCAGCAGUGGGGAAUAUUGGACAAUGGGCGAAAGCCUGAUCCAGCCAUGCCGCGUGUGUGAAGAAGGUCUUCGGAUUNUAAAGCACUUUAAGUNNGAGGAAGGGUUGUAGAUUAAUACUCUGCAANNNUANUUUUGACGUUACCGACAGAAUAAGCACCGGCUAACUCUGUGCCAGCAGCCGCGGUAAU
rnacentral:rRNA from 1 species